rnacentral:tRNA from 1 species
GCCCCGUUGGUCUAGUGGUAUGAUUCUCGCUUAGGGUCAUCUGUCCGAUUUGCGAGAGGUCCCAGGUUCGAGUCCUGGGCGGAGCC